CAUUGGGUUUUGGUUUAAGGAAUGGAUGAAACAUGGCACAUGUUCCGACUUUGCACAACAUCCUCUAUCAUACUUCCAAUCGGCCAUACAACUUAGGACAAAUUUAAAUCCAGCUAUGGGACUCACACGUGGAUCCACCUAUACUGUCCGACGAGUUACGGAUACAGUUUUCUGACUUAUAGGAGCAUCUCCACAAAUUUCAUGCAGUAAACACAAAAGAACUAAAGUUCUACUACUUGGGGAGAUGUUUAUCUGUUAUGGAAGACCGAGGCCAUCCCUUAUCUUUGGAACUCCCAAAAAUUGUUCCAACUUAUUUUAUGGCCUGUGCAAUAGUGGAUCCGAUACCAUAGAAUUUCCAUAGCUAGCUUUACCACAAUUGUCUCAUAUAUGUUUAAAAAUGUUUGAUAUAAUAUCUGAAUUAUUAAUAAAACUAAAAUAGAAACUA